AGUGGAAUAGUUGGGUCAUAUGGUGGCUCCAUUCCUAGUGUUUGAGAAAUUUCCAUACUAUUUCCUAAAGUGGGCAUACUAAUUUUCAGUCCCACUAAAAAU
rnacentral:pre_miRNA from 1 species